rnacentral:lncRNA from 1 species
UGGCUUCCUCCUGAGCACACUGGGAUGUGGCAUUACAUCGGGGCUGCUGAGUGCCCUUACCUUCAGCUGCCCAGAUGCAGAGGCAGUUCCACAAGGUACUGGCACAAGAAGAGUCGUGGAAGACUGACCUGGCCAUGGCUUCUCAUGUCCCAGCUCAGGACCUGCCACAUCAAUUCUCCCUUUCCUCUGGCCGUCACGUGUGGAGUGAAAUUCUCAGAAGCGGCUGUCCCUGUGCACCUCUCUGGCUGUGUCCAGAAAAUGAACAUCUGUUUACAGCUUCAAUUUUCUAAUGAUUAGAAUGCCACAAACAAGAAAACCCAGAGGAAAGCUGUUGAUGCUGAAAUGUUUCCUUCCUCUACAUAUUCCAUGAUGCGUCCUGUGGGGUUAUGC